GGGCAAUCUGCCCUUCACUCUGGGACAAGCCCUGGAAACGGGGUCUAAUACCGGAUAACACUCCUGCCUGCAUGGGUGGGGGUUAAAAGCUCCGGCGGUGAAGGAUGAGCCCGCGGCCUAUCAGCUUGUUGGUGAGGUAGUGGCUCACCAAGGCGACGACGGGUAGCCGGCCUGAGAGGGCGACCGGCCACACUGGGACUGAGACACGGCCCAGACUCCUACGGGAGGCAGCAGUGGGGAAUAUUGCACAAUGGGCGAAAGCCUGAUGCAGCGACGCCGCGUGAGGGAUGACGGCCUUCGGGUUGUAAACCUCUUUCAGCAGGGAAGAAGCGAAAGUGACGGUACCUGCAGAAGAAGCGCCGGCUAACUACGUGCCAGCAGCCGCGGUAAUACGUAGGGCGCAAGCGUUGUCCGGAAUUAUUGGGCGUAAAGAGCUCGUAGGCGGCUUGUCACGUCGGUUGUGAAAGCCCGGGGCUUAACCCCGGGUCUGCAGUCGAUACGGGCAGGCUAGAGUGUG
rnacentral:rRNA from 1 species